CGGUCAUCAUGUAAUCAUGAUACAAGUUGGCGAGAAAAUUCCAUUUUCGAUGACUUUCAAAUUUUUCUUUUUCAGAGUCCAUUAUACUUGAUGUAUGAUAAUUGGAAUCCAGAUUAAUAUAUGAAAACAUGGUCAAUGAGCAUAAAAUUUUCAUUGAUGAUCAAUGAUCAUCAUUAGACAUAUAAUUGGUGCCGUCUUUAUAAAA